AACUCUCAGCGAUGGAUCACUCGGCUUGUGCGUCGAUGAAGAACGCAGCUAACUGUGAGAACUAAUGUCAAUUGCAGGACAUUGAUCAUCGACACUUCGAACGCACCUUGGUCCCCAGGUUCCUCCUGGGGCUACGCCUGUUUGAGGGUCG